AUGCAAGUCGAACGGUGAUGCCCAGCUUGCUGGGCGGAUCAGUGGCGAACGGGUGAGUAACACGUGAGUAACCUGCCCCAGACUCCGGGAUAAGCCUUGGAAACGAGGUCUAAUACUGGAUAUGAGAUGCCCCUGCAUGGGGAGUGUCUGGAAAGAUUUAUCGGUCUGGGAUGGACUCGCGGCCUAUCAGCUUGUUGGUGGGGUAAUGGCCUACCAAGGCGACGACGGGUAGCCGGCCUGAGAGGGCGACCGGCCACACUGGGACUGAGACACGGCCCAGACUCCUACGGGAGGCAGCAGUGGGGAAUAUUGCACAAUGGGCGAAAGCCUGAUGCAGCGACGCCGCGUGAGGGAUGAAGGCCUUCGGGUUGUAAACCUCUUUCAGCAGGGAAGAAGCGCAAGUGACGGUACCUGCAGAAGAAGCGCCGGCUAACUACGUGCCAGCAGCCGCGGUAAUACGUAGGGCGCAAGCGUUGUCCGGAAUUAUUGGGCGUAAAGAGCUCGUAGGCGGUUUGUCGCGUCUGGUGUGAAAACUCAAGGCUCAACCUUGAGCUUGCAUCGGGUACGGGCAGACUAGAGUGCGGUAGGG
rnacentral:rRNA from 1 species